UACGUAGGGGGCUAGCGUUGUCCGGAAUCAUUGGGCGUAAAGCGCGCGUAGGCGGCCCGGUAAGUCCGCUGUAAAAGUCCAGGGCUCAACCCUGGAAAGCCGGUGGAUACUGUCGGGCUCGAGUCCGGAAGAGGCGAGUGGAAUUCCCGGUGUAGCGGUGAAAUGCGCAGAUAUCGGGAAGAACACCCGUGGCGAAGGCGGCUCUCUGGGACGGUACUGACGCUGAGACGCGAAAGCGUGGGGAGCGAACAGG
rnacentral:rRNA from 1 species